rnacentral:rRNA from 1 species
GCGAACUGGUGAGUAACACGUGGGAAACCUGCCCAGAAGCGGGGGAUAACACCUGGAAACAGAUGCUAAUACCGCAUAACAACUUGGACCGCAUGGUCCGAGCUUGAAAGAUGGCUUCGGCUAUCACUUUUGGAUGGUCCCGCGGCGUAUUAGCUAGAUGGUGGGGUAACGGCUCACCAUGGCAAUGAUACGUAGCCGACCUGAGAGGGUAAUCGGCCACAUUGGGACUGAGACACGGCCCAAACUCCUACGGGAGGCAGCAGUAGGGAAUCUUCCACAAUGGACGAAAGUCUGAUGGAGCAACGCCGCGUGAGUGAAGAAGGGUUUCGGCUCGUAAAACUCUGUUGUUAAAGAAGAACAUAUCUGAGAGUAACUGUUCAGGUAUUGACGGUAUUUAACCAGAAAGCCACGGCUAACUACGUGCCAGCAGCCGCGGUAAUACGUAGGUGGCAAGCGUUGUCCGGAUUUAUUGGGCGUAAAGCGAGCGCAGGCGGUUUUUUAAGUCUGAUGUGAAAGCCUUCGGCUCAACCGAAGAAGUGCAUCGGAAACUGGGAAACUUGAGUGCAGAAGAGGACAGUGGAACUCCAUGUGUAGCGGUGAAAUGCGUAGAUAUAUGGAAGAACACCAGUGGCGAAGGCGGCUGUCUGGUCUGUAACUGACGCUGAGGCUUCGAAAGUUAUGGGUAGCAAACAGGAUUAGAUACCC